GCUUCCCCCUUCACUCAGCUCUCAUUCUUCUCCUUCCUGCCACCAUGUGAAGAGGGAUGUGUUUGCUUUCACUUCUACCAUGACUGUCAUUGGGUCAAGGUUUUGGCCAGAGAAUAGCAAGGAUGACUUAUCUCUGCUCCACUAUGUCUGGAACCUCUUGGAAUCAUUUGGAGUCUUCUUCACUCUCUUGCCUGGCACCUGGACUGGGAAAACUUGGAACCCACUGGGACUGUUGACCAAAGCACAAACAUGUGGCCUCUUCAUGUGGCUUGGGCUUUCCACAGCAUGGAGGCUGAUUUCUGAGGAGAGGCCCAAAAAUAAUAUACACAAAGAGAGAAGCAGAUGGAAUUUUGAGAGAGAAAAGGAGGAGGUAAAAUGAAGACAGGCAGAGAUGGGAGUGGUGCAGCCAAGAGCCAAGCAACACCUGGCGCCACCAGCAGCUGGAAGAGGAAAAGAAGAGAUUUAUCUCCAGAGUCUUAGGAGGAAGCACAGCAGUGCUUUAAUUUUGGACUUCUGGCUUCCACAAUAAGAAGAGAAUAAAUCGAUGUUGCCUUAGUCCAUCCAGUUUAUGGUAAUUUGUUACAGCACUCUAGGAAACUAAUACAACAAACAAGGCCUGACUGAACAGAGUGGAAAGUUAGCAGAGAGGAAGGAGAGAUCUAGUAUAGUGUCUGGCAUGUAGCAGAGACACAUGCAUUUGUUGACUUAAUAAAAAUAAAGGGGAAGAGCCUGGAGGUGGAAAGAAAAAGAAGACAAAAGAAGGAAUGAUUAGAACAUAGUUUAUGAGGAUGAAUGAAGAGGAUGACAUUGAUGUGGAAGAGGAAAGAGAGUGUGAUUCUCCAGAUUAUUGGUAUUUAAAACUAAAAGCAUUCAUAGAUGACUAACUGUAAG
rnacentral:lncRNA from 1 species